CUUUCACUGUGGAGUGUGGGCGAUGUGGAGUGUUCUUACGGGUUUUGGUUAACUAGGAUUUACUUGUUAAAUAACUAAAAUAAGUGUCAUAUGAAAGAUGUUGAUUUCAACAUUUAUGGCUGAUUAGUGAUUACAGUGAGAAGGGCCUUCCCGCAUUCCAUUUCCAGCACGUGAUCGAUCCUGUUCGAAAUAUACUACCUGGCAUAUUCGAUCUAAUGCAACUCGCCGAUUCAUUGGUGGAGGAAGGCAUAGGAAGGAACAGGAAACAUUGGCUACAAGUACUAGCCUACCAUCAAUUCUUCCAGUAGAAAUCAUUGUUUUGCUGAAUGCAUCAUCCAGUUAAUACAGGUUUAUUGCAGCAACUUUGGGGAAGUCACACCAUGGUCACACGAAAAGAUGCAGGACACAUACCAACUUGUGGUGUAUUCAUCUGAUUUUUACUCGAGCAAUUCAACAUGACUGUUUGAUGCCAAAGUUAGUUGGAACUCUAACUCAAACACCAAUAACCGUUGCUGCUGCUGCCUUACAGCCACAGGCAGGAAAAUUAUUCU